UACGUAGGGUGCAAGCGUUAAUCGGAAUUACUGGGCGUAAAGCGUGCGCAGGCGGUUUUGUAAGUCAGAUGUGAAAUCCCCGGGCUUAACCUGGGAACUGCGUUUGAAACUACAAGGCUAGAGUGUGUCAGAGGGGGGUAGAAUUCCACGUGUAGCAGUGAAAUGCGUAGAUAUGUGGAGGAAUACCGAUGGCGAAGGCAGCCCCCUGGGAUAACACUGACGCUCAUGCACGAAAGCGUGGGGAGCAAACAGG
rnacentral:rRNA from 1 species